UACGUAGGUGGCAAGCGUUGUCCGGAAUUAUUGGGCGUAAAGAGCUCGUAGGCGGCUUGUCGCGUCGGAUGUGAAAGCCCGGGCUUAACUCCGGGUCUGCAUUCGAUACGGGCAGGCUAGAGUUCGGUAGGGGAGAUCGGAAUUCCUGGUGUAGCGGUGAAAUGCGCAGAUAUCAGGAGGAACACCGAUGGCGAAGGCAGGUCUCUGGGCCACUACUGACGCUGAGAAGCGAAAGCAUGGGGAGCGAACAGG
rnacentral:rRNA from 1 species